rnacentral:rRNA from 1 species
GAUGAACGCUAGCGACAGGCCUAACACAUGCAAGUCGAGGGGUAACAUUAUUAAAGCUUGCUUUAAUAGAUGACGACCGGCGCACGGGUGCGUAACGCGUAUGCAACCUACCCAUUACAGGAGGAUAGCCCAGAGAAAUUUGGAUUAAUACUCCAUAGUAUUUACUGAAAGCAUUUUUAGUAUUUUAAAAGAUUCGUCUGGUAAUGGAUGGGCAUGCGUAUGAUUAGUUAGUUGGUAGGGUAACGGCCUACCAAGACGACGAUCAUUAGGGGUUCUGAGAGGAUAGUCCCCCACACUGGUACUGAGACACGGACCAGACUCCUACGGGAGGCAGCAGUGAGGAAUAUUGGUCAAUGGGCGAGAGCCUGAACCAGCCAAGUCGCGUGCAGGACGACUGCCCUAUGGGUUGUAAACUGCUUUUAUAUAGGAAUAAUUGUUUCUACGUGUAGGAAUUUGAAUGUACUAUAUGAAUAAGCACCGGCUAACUCCGUGCCAGCAGCCGCGGUAAUACGGAGGGUGCAAGCGUUAUCCGGAUUUAUUGGGUUUAAAGGGUGCGUAGGCGGGUUCAUAAGUCAGUGGUGAAAGUCUGUCGCUUAACGAUAGAAUUGCCAUUGAAACUGUGGAUCUUGAAUACAGUAGAGGUAGGCGGAAUAUAUUGUGUAGCGGUGAAAUGCAUAGAUACGAUAUAGAACACCUAUUGCGAAGGCAGCUUACUAUGCUGUAAUUGACGCUGAUGCACGAAAGCGUGGGGAGCGAACAGG